rnacentral:rRNA from 1 species
GAUGAACGCUGGCGGCGUGCUUAACACAUGCAAGUCGAACGGAAAGGCCGAAGCUUGCUUCGGUGCUCGAGUGGCGAACGGGUGAGUAACACGUGGGUGAUCUGCCCUGUACUUCGGGAUAAGCUUGGGAAACUGGGUCUAAUACCGGAUAUGACGAUCUCCUGGAUGGGGGUGGGGGAAGCUUUUGCGGGGUGGGAUGAGCUCGCGGCUUAUCUGCUUGUUGGUGGGGUAGUGGCCUACCAAGGCGUUGACGGGUAGCCGGCCUGAGAGGGUGUACGGCCACGGUGGGAGUGAGGUGCGCCCCAGACUCCUGGGGGAGGCAGCAGGGGGGAAUAUUGCACGAUGGGCGGACGCCUGAUGCAGCAACGCAGCGUGCGGGAUGACGGCCUGCGUUUUGUAAACCGCUUUCACCUGUGACGAAGCGUGAGUGACGGUAGUGGGUAAAGAAGCACCGGCUAACUACGUG